rnacentral:rRNA from 1 species
GACGAACGCUGGCGGCGUGCUUAACACAUGCAAGUCGAACGGAAAGGCCCUGCUUUUGUGGGGUGCUCGAGUGGCGAACGGGGGAGUAACACGUGAGUAACCUGCCCUUGACUUUGGGAUAACUUCAGGAAACUGGGGCUAAUACCGGAUAGGAGCUCCUGCUGCAUGGUGGGGGGUGGAAAGUUUCGGCGGUUGGGGAUGGACUCGCGGCUUACCAGCUGGUUGGUGGGGUAGUGGCUUACCAAGGGUUUGACGGGUAGCCGGCCUGAGAGGGUGAACGGCCACCUUGGGACUGCGAUACGGCCCAGACUCCUACGGGAGGCAGCAGUGGGGAAUAUUGCACAAUGAGCGGAAGCCUGAUGCAGCAACGCCGCGUGCGGGAUGACGGCCUUCGGGUUGUAAACCGCUUUCGCCUGAGACGAAGCGUGAGUGACGGUAAUGGGUAAAGAAGCACCGGCUAACUACGUG